UUAGAUAUCAUUGGCAAGUAACCACACCCAGGAACAGACAAUAAUCCAAUUUGAGAAAGCAAACGAAAAAGAAUCCCUUAAAGAUGAAUUCCCUCAUCCUGGUUGUCAUGGGCCUGCUCCUCUUCACAGCAGAACUCAUCCCAGCCGCCCCUGCCCCUUUCUUUGAUGAAGAUGCAAUGGACCUGAUGGAGCCUGUCCUCAACUACCAGGAAGACCAGACGGUAAAGCGAAGCGCCCUCAUGCAGAAAUCUUGCAUCUUCACCUGUUUAGCUUGCUCUAAGAACACCCAUAUGCAAACGACGGACUGCAUCUCUGGUUGCAACGGUGCAGGACGAGACCCAAGCCAGGCACGAGCAUACAAGGCCUGCCACAUGUACCUUCACAGUGGACGUAAAUAAAUCAUUUUUGAGAACUUCAAGACUUCAUCCAUCCCUCACAAAAAACAAGCAGAUGAUAAUAUACAUGCUUUAAUAUUUUUUAAAUUUCCAUUCAAUCGGUCAAUUUUUGAUAGUUUGCACCGCUGGGAAACACUUUCACCUUCUUCCACGAGACUGUCACAUUUAGUUGAUUUCUUGGGGUGUUAAUUGUCAAUCCCCUUUUCCUUCAUCUACUUCAAGUUACGCUCUGCCGUUUACUCUUCACGCAACUAUCAAUGCCCCUCUAUGAUUUCAUCACAUCUUAAGAUGUACUUUAAAGUGUAGAUUGAUUUCUUUAUGAAUAGAGGUUAUUGGCUAUAAUUUUUCCCAACUUUGUUUCUAGUUAGAUGUCUAAGCACGAACCUACUAUGUAUUGCACAUUUCUGAAAUUUACAAUAUGUGAUUUGCUUUGUAAAAUUUGUAUAAAAAAGUAACAUAUCAACGUAAUGUAAAUACAGAGUUGCUCUAUGCCUGAUAUCUUUAAUUUUCAUUUUUACAUUUUGGAACCUUACAUCUAAGCACACACUGGUAGUUCAUUUCUAAAACAUUAAAUUAGUUUUAUUUUGUAUAUUCAUGGAUGUGUCUGAAAGUGAGAAAGAAGUUUAAAUAUCCCUGUCAUAAUGACAGAGCAGUACAAUAUUGACCUUGCCAUUUACAUUGUGAUGUGAUGUUGCAAUAAGCCAUUCUUACUCCAUAGCUGUAGUUUUCUACUGUCUUAAAGUGUAAGACCCCAUUCUCAUUACAUUUUCUAAAACUAGCUUAGUGGAAACUGGUUGAGGAAACCAGUUUGGAAGAUUGCUUUGCUAGCAUUCCCAUCUGAUCACCCCUAAAUGGUUUACAAAACUACUUUGAGUAAAGCAGUAUUGUUGCUACAGGAAUGCUCUCAGUGGGGUGAUGUUUGAAACCGCAUUGUAGACGUUCUACACACCAUAUGUGGAGUAGCGCACCAAACAUGUGCGGGAAUCAAUUCCCGAAGAACGGCUGUGUCCUCAUCUACACUUAAAGUAGUUUAACGAGGCAGAGAGGUCUUGAAAUCCAAAUCACAAGCAUUUCUAUUACACAAUAAACUAGUUCCCACUAAACUGGUUUCCACUUAACUAGUUUUAGGACUGUAAUGAGAACGGGGUCUUAAGGCCUCAUCGCACCAAACCGGGUUAGGCCAGUGUGUCCCAAACCAUACAAACACAAAAGAUCUGUUAUCAUGCAGAACAUGGUGUGAGUUUAGUGUGAGUUCAUCAUUGAGACUACCAACCAAUAGUACAACAUUACACCAGAAUGAAGCCUCAAAGAGUUUUUGGUGUGACCAGGCCUUCACUCCAUGCUCUAAUGGAAAAAAUAAAUAGUACAAAAUAUAUUUCGUACUAGUGAUAAAGCUAUACAUUGGGAGACGCUCGUCUCACUCACAAUGGAGAUGCUGUCAAUGCCAGAGAGCUCUCUUCUUACAAUCAAUGAUCUAUCAAAUUUUCAUAAAAGCCAGCUUAAUCAAAGAAAUGGCUGGAUCAUUGAUCAAUAUUCCCCAGGUAUAUUUAGCUACCAAUGAUCAUUCUAACAAGAACGAAUACGGAAGUAUUUAUCUGGACCAAACUUCUUGUGCGCGAGUGAGGAUUGUGUCUUUAAUUGUAAAGUUCUCCUCAAUGCUGGGAAUAUACGGUAAUAACUCCCAGAUUUUAUAAGGCUGAUGUUUUAUUCUAGCCAUUGAUUCUCAUGAAAGGGUCUUUAUUUCAUCGGGUAUAGGGUAUUGUUUAUGAACAAUAUCAGAAUUUCCCAAGAACGGAGAUGACAUUUUGACAUUUUUUUGGAUAAGGCAUUCUUUCUCUUACCACUUAAUAGAGAGUUUUCUCAUUUACUAUGGAGCCGCUCUCAACAACGCACAAAUUCCUUUGAAAAUGCAAGUCAAAUCACAAUGGAGAGCUGAGAGGCUUUUGUCUAAAGUUGGUGGACCGGGACAGCAGUGUAGUGUCUUGACUUUGACAUAAUAUAUUUGCGAUUGUUCAUCCCAUGCAAAUCUUUGGAUGAUCAUCUAUCCCAGUCCACCAACUUUCAACAAAAGCAUCUCAGCUCUCCAUUGUGAUUUUACUUGCAUUUUCAAAAGAAUUGUUGCGCUGUAGGGAGCAGCUCCAUAGUAAAUAUGCAAAUUCUAUAAAGAUUUAAUGAGUAAACUGUAGAAACAAUGGAUGAGUAAAACCAUUUGAUAAAACAUGCAAGACAGACAGACAGACCAUCAUAAGCACUCGCACAUUUUCAAACAAUCUUACAUUGAUAUUAUGAAUAUGCAGUAUCGUAUCAAAUGAAGGGAGAUACAUGUGUAUAAAAGGUUUUAAGUUUUCAUUUUAGUCUGUCAGAGUAUAUAUUUUUGUUAAGAACUGUGUGAAUUUGUCACACAACAUUGUUUUAAAUUUUGUUGACAUUUGUAUGCCAUUCAUUCCACUAUUCUCCCACAUGUAGCCGAUGAUUUCCACAAAGUCAAACAAAUAAAACUUCUCAAUUCAUACA